rnacentral:rRNA from 1 species
CCGGCGCACGGGUGAGUAACACGUAUCCAACCUGCCGUCUACUCUUGGCCAGCCUUCUGAAAGGAAGAUUAAUCCAGGAUGGGAUCAUGAGUUCACAUGCCCGCAUGAUUAAAGGUAUUUUCCGGUAGACGAUGGGGAUGCGUUCCAUUAGAUAGUAGGCGGGGUAACGGCCCACCUAGUCAACGAUGGAUAGGGGUUCUGAGAGGAAGGUCCCCCACAUUGGAACUGAGACACGGUCCAA